UUCGACCAGUCUUUUGAGUUGAAAUAUGUUGAUCCGUGGAAGCAACAGCUGGGUCUUAUGGCUCUUUUCACUCUGUCUUAUCUGUUGAGUAACAAAGGACUUGAAUUUCCAAGGACUUUUUUUUUUUUUCAGCCUUAGCAAGAAAAGAAAGAAAAAAAAUCAGGAAAAGAAGGCUUUUGGGAACAUACGCCAUUUGUUAUUUUGAGCAAGUAGGUCUUCUUUAGAAGUCUUCCAAGAAGGUAAAGAUGACUUUCCAAAAGAAGGAAAAUUACUUAGCAUCUUCCACAUUUCAGGGAUGUAGCAGAAUUUGAUGAAGAGCAAAAGAUGUCUUUGCCGGGAGAGUCCAUCUUUAGGUCUACUGAUACAUCAGCAAAGCCUGGGAAACCUCAUGUUUUGGUCAGCUAUUGCCGCAACGGUGCUGCAUAACAAGCUCCACGACUACAGGGCUGAACAGCACAGAGUCUCUUCUUACAUUGAUGGAUUAGCUUCCAUCAGAUGCUAAAGACCUUUUGGAUGCUCAAGGAGACAGGAGACUAGUGUGAGCUAGAGAACAAAGAGGUAACAGCCUUCCCUCCAAUAUAAUGAAAUAGCUUUUCAUUUCUUCUUUGAGGCUUCAAAAUUAUAAGGUAAGUAGAUUUUUUUUUGCAGAAUGGCUGCAUUAGGAUCAUCAAGUCCUAAGCAUCUCUCUGUGCAUACAGCAGCUGUAUUCUAAGUGGGGCAAGGCAUGGCCCAUCCUCUACUUUAGAAUCUUGGGGGCCUUUAUGGAAGCUUCAUCAUGUAGGCAAGGUCCACUAUUAACUCAGUCUCUAGCCCCUCUUCCCU
rnacentral:lncRNA from 1 species